rnacentral:rRNA from 1 species
GACGAACGCUGGCGGCGUGCCUAAUACAUGCAAGUCGAGCGGACUUUCAAGAAGCUUGCUUUUUGAAAGUUAGCGGCGGACGGGUGAGUAACACGUGGGCAACCUGCCUGUAAGACGGGGAUAACUCCGGGAAACCGGGGCUAAUACCGGAUAAUAUCUUUCUUCGCAUGAAGGAAGGUUGAAAGGCGGCGCAAGCUGCCGCUUGCAGAGGGGCCCGCGGCGCAAUAGCUAGUUGGUGAGGUAACGGCUCACCAAGGCGCCGAUGCGUAGCCGACCUGAGAGGGUGAUCGGCCACACUGGGACUGAGACACGGCCCAGACACCUACGGGAGGCAGCAGUAGGGAAUCUUCCGCAAUGGACGAAAGUCUGACGGAGCAACGCCGCGUGAGCGAAGAAGGUCUUCGGAUCGUAAAGCUCUGUUGUCAGGGAAGAACAAGUACCGUUCGAAUAGGGCGGUACCUUGACGGUACCUGACCAGAAAGCCACGGCUAACUACGUGCCAGCCGCCGCCGUAA